rnacentral:lncRNA from 1 species
GGGAAUUAUUUAAUAUUUUUUACUAAUAUUAAUUUCAAUCAAAUUAGUCUUAAUUUAAACAUUUUUAUUUUUAUUUUUAAUUCUUUUCCUAUAUUUCUCUCUUUUCAGGUACCAUAGAUGACUUUGCAUAUCAAUGGCCAUACACGAACAUGACUCAACCAAGGGAAGCGAGGAUUGAUGGUCUCAAUGCAUUUUCUGCAUUAUCAGCGCAGCUUGAGACACUUUUGAGGAGGUUGAACGUUGUUACAGCCCAACGUAAUCGAAGGAUAGCAGUUACUUGCAAUUAUUGUGUUGGUAAUCAUCUGAGUCAUCAAUGAACCGUUAGUUUUGGGUUGGGACAACAUGGUGGUGAAUACCUCAACGAUUAUACAUAUGCUAAUUAUCAUCAAGUUUGGGGGUAUCACCCGGAUUCGUCAUGGAGCUAUACUUAUGAAGACCAAUACUACGCUCCAAAUCCAAUAUACACACCAGAAUUUUCAUGUAAACCUCCAUUGCCACAAGAAGAAAAGUCAAAUUUGGAGGAAUUACUGUCAAAGCUCAUAGCAAACCAAGAGGAGAGGAUGAUGAGUCAAGAAAUAUCGAGCCACAAUUUUCAGCACCAGAUGAAACAACUCAUCACCACUUCAACCCAUGGUCCUCAAUACAUGGAUUCCAAAACUGAGACAGAUAAUUCAAGGUUGGAGGAAUUGUUGUCCAAGUUCAUAGCAUCAAAUCGGGAGAAAAGGAUUAAUCAAGAGCGGUCAAUUCAGAAUCAAGAGAUAUCAAUUCAAAAUCUACAAAACCAGAUGGAUCAAAUGCUCAAAGCCUUGAACAACUGUCCUCAAAACAAUUG